GGUAGAGAAUUUAAAAAAUAUUAAGUUCUUGAUAUUUCUUGAAAAAGCGGCUAUUUCAAAAUCUAAGCUAAAUGAAAUAAUUUUUUUUUAUAUUUAGAUGAGGAGGAUGGCAUACCUAGUUACUCAAAUGAGAGGAGUGGGAAGAACGACUCCUUGGAAAACAGUUAAAAUUGUUAUGAAUACUAUUAUGGAAUACAGGCAUUAUUUAGCAAGGAUGGAAGAAAAGAAAAAUGUAAAUUUACGAGCACUUCUUAUUAUAGAUGCAUUGAAUGCGAGUUUUUAGCUAUUGCAUUUUAUAUAAGACUGAAAUAUUUUUGUUAACAUUAAAUAGCAGAACGUGAAACAGUAGUA